rnacentral:sRNA from 1 species
UGAUUGCACCGGUUCCUCGACACUUUA